rnacentral:rRNA from 1 species
CCAGACUCCUACGGGAGGCAGCAGUGGGGAAUAUUGCACAAUGGGGGAAACCCUGAUGCAGCGACGCCGCGUGGGCGAGGAAGUACCUCGGUAUGUAAAGCCCUAUCAGCAGGGAAGAAACAGGACAGUACCUGACUAAGAAGCCCCGGCUAACUACGUGCCAGCAGCCGCGGUAAUACGUAGGGGGCAAGCGUUAUCCGGAUUUACUGGGUGUAAAGGGUGCGUAGGUGGCAGGGCAAGUCAGAUGUGAAAGCCCGGGGCCCAACCCCGGUACUGCAUUUGAAACUGUCCGGCUGGAGUGCAGGAGAGGUAAGCGGAAUUCCUAGUGUAGCGGUGAAAUGCGUAGAUAUUAGGAGGAACACCAGUGGCGAAGGCGGCUUACUGGACUGUAACUGACACUGAGGCACGAAAGCGUGGGGAGCAAACAGGAUUAGAUACCCCCGUA